CAGUAGCCGCGGGAAUACGUAGGUGGCAAGCGUUGUCCGGAUUUAUUGGGCGUAAAGCGAGCGCAGGCGGUCAAUUAAGUCUGAUGUGAAAGCCCCCGGCUCAACCGGGGAGGGUCAUUGGAAACUGGUUGACUUGAGUGCAGAAGAGGAGAGUGGAAUUCCAUGUGUAGCGGUGAAAUGCGUAGAGAUGUGGAGGAACACCAGUGGCGAAGGCGACUCUCUGGUCUGUAACUGACGCUGAGGAGCGAAAGCGUGGGGAGCGAACAGGAUUAGAUACCCCCGUAGUCCCUGUCUCUUAUAC
rnacentral:rRNA from 1 species